CAGCAGCCGCGGUAAUACAGAGGAUGCAAGCGUUAUCCGGAAUGAUUGGGCGUAAAGCGUCUGUAGGUGGCUUUUCAAGUCCGCCGUCAAAUCCCAGGGCUCAACCCUGGACAGGCGGUGGAAACUACCAAGCUGGAGUACGGUAGGGGCAGAGGGAAUUUCCGGUGGAGCGGUGAAAUGCGUAGAGAUGUGGAGGAACACCAGUGGCGAAGGCGACUCUCUGGUCUGUAACUGACGCUGAGGAGCGAAAGCGUGGGGAGCGAACAGGAUUAGAUACCCCGGUAGUCCCUGUCUCUUAUAC
rnacentral:rRNA from 1 species